CCCUAAAAACUUGUUCUGACUUCACCCCUUAUUUUAAGGUAAAAUACAAUUUUAAAUAAAACUUGAUAGCGAAAGAUUUUAGCCAACAGAUCCGAAUUAAUUAUAAAGAUACCUCUCUGGCAGCUCAUAUUUGGUGUCUUUACACGCAACUCGUAAUGGUGGCACGUUUUAAGGAAUAUAGAUGAUGAAGUUUAUGGCCAAAAACAAGAAAAGCACAAAUAGCUAUUUACACAUCAAAUUGCAUACAAGAAACUGCGUGUAAGAUCUGUAGUAUUUCUUAAAUCAGAGCUAAAACGAAAAAUGUACAAUAAAAUAUACAUCAAUGAUGAAACAGAGAAGGAUUAUUCAUCAAAACCAAUAUAUUUUACAUUAUGGAACUUUUUGAUUUGAAAACCCUUUUCUCUCCCCUGUAAAACCCCCAAAAAAAAGUGUGAUUCAACUAUUGAAAGAUUGAAUUACCUCUCAUGAAAUUGCGUAUCCGAUUUGUAACAGUUGAAAGGUUGAGAAAUGGGGAUUGAAGGAAUCGAAUCCGAGCAUCAACAACAUAGCCGGCGAGUUGGGAGAAGAAGAAGAGACACUUAAAGAAGUUGCAGGGCUUAGAAGGGAAGAGAAAGCGUCGAGGAAGAAGAUGAUGAUGGUGCUGAUAGGUACCAUGUUUUCAAACUUGGGUAUAGUAAUAUGGUAUGAUCAACGAAAUUAUUUAUAUUAUCUCUAGAUUGCACUUUAUUUUUCUAAGUUCUUGGAAUUACGAUAACACUCAAAUUAUGUUUUGCCUUUUCUAUUAAAAGUCAUUUUUUUUAUUGUUAACAAUUAGUUACUGUAUGUCAAAAUGAAGCAUACGUGACAUGUUACGUGUACCUGCUUAGUUAUUUUAUUAGUAACACUAAUUUUUAACAGUAAAAUAGAUGGAAUUGUUAAUAAAAAUAACUAGUUUACUUUUUAAUCUAACAUAUAGAGAUUAAUUUUUUUUUAUUUUUUAAAUAAAAGAAGUAAAAUGUAAUAUGACUCUUAAUAUAUGAAUCUCCAUAAUAUUUUUACCUAAAAAAUGAUAGUUUUGCAAAAUUAUAAAAUUGUCUAGAUUAUAUGUGACAAAUAUGACUAAUCAAAUAAAUUUUUUCGGAGUAACUUAAAAGAAUUUCAAUAAUUAAGGUAAUUCCUAAAUUACAAUAGCUAUCUAAAUAUGUUUGUUUUAAUAUAUAUUUUAUUCUUUACAUGUCACAAAAUAUUAUCUAUUAUACAUAUUAAGUUUUUUAUUAAGUUAAUAUCGUUUAUUAACUGAGUCUUAACUUAAUUUAAAAAUUACCAAAAAAACCUAUUACUUUUAUAAAGUAAUAAAUAUUAAUAUACGAGUAUUUUAUUAAAAGCCCAAAACUUUUAUAAAGUAACAAAUAUUAAUAUGAGGAUAUUUUUAUCUUUUUAUAUUUUUUAAUAAAACGAUAUUAUGGUAGGAUUUGAACUUAAUACAUAUGAUAUUUUUUCCCUCUUUUGAAAAUUGAUUUUAAGAUAAAGUUUUUAUAAAUAUAAUCUAACUAUAUUAUAAAUAUUUUGUUUUUAUUAUCACAUCAACAAUCACAUCAAUUAAAUUGAAAAUGAUAAAAAUUAAUCAAAUAAAAUUAUUUAAAAUUUUAAAAUUAAAGAGAGAAUUGUUUAUUCACCAUUAAAAAAAUACCUAUAUAUAAUCUUUUUAUUUUUUAAAAAAAAUUACAAUUUUCAUAUAUAUUCUUUAACUUAGACAUAAUUUAGUAUGCAUAUAAAUUUAUCUUUAAAAAAUCCAUAUAAACUAAAGUUUUCAAUAUGAAUAUGAAUAGGUUUUUUUUAAAAAAAAUUCACAAAAUAAAAAUAUUACAUUGCUUGUAGGAAUAGCAAACAUGAUGCAAGUCUAGUGGCCUAAAACAUUAUGCAGAGGGGACAAAUUUUGUUGGGAGGAUAAGUUGGAAACAAUAAUGUAAUGUGCAAUUUAAGUUAUGAUUCAAAUUUAACUUUAGUGACAUUGACAUGGCAAAAAUUCUUUUCUAUUAUCUCGAUUGAGUCUUAAUUGGUAUGGAUAUUGUUGUUAAUACAAGAGAACGUGGUUCAAGUGGACUAAAGCGAUUAUCUUCUUAUUUAUAGGUUGGGAGGGAUUAUGGAUAAUUCUAAGUAUUAUCUUAAAAAUAGCAGUUAUGAUUAGAACAUAUAUUAAGAUUAUUCAAAAAAAAAACCUCCUAUUCACAAUUAUUAAUUAAAAUUAGGUAAAUUACACCAAGAAUCACUUAACUUUGGGGUAAAUUAUUAGUCACUCAGGUUUCAAUUUAGUGACUUAGCUUUCAAAAAAUAACAAAACAAUCACCACUAACUAUUUUUCGUUACAUCUAUAACAGAGUUAUCGUUUUCUGUUAUUGACUUAACAGAAAUGUCAUUUUUCAUCUCUGUCUUAUCCCCCUCCCUCUUCCCCACCAUCAUUCUCCCUAUCACAAGCCCUUUCACUUUUUUUGCAGACCUCCCCACCAUUGCCCUCUCCCUCUCUUCCCUUUCUUCCUUCUUCACCAGAAUCCCCAAGAAAAAUGAACCCCAAGAAGGCAACAACAUAAAGUGUAGCCACAAAGAUACUUAAGGGCUUGAACUUGGCCACAAAAACCAAACCUUUACACCAUAUGCACCAUGUUCGCACGCCGAAUGUUACCACAUUUCCAAAUAAAGCCUGAAACGAAAUUGGUCUCAGUUACAAAGCUUCGAUUUGCCAAAAUGACAAAGCUAACUUGGGGAGUUGCAGUUUGCUUACUGAGUAGAUCAUAGAAAUGAGCUCGAUAUCAGGACUCAACAUCAAAGCGUUUAGGUAUCUUUUAAAAUCAAAGUAACCAAUGCAGAUUGAAUGGACCCAAAGAGGCAAUAGAAGGAAACCAACGUUAUCUCCAAUGGAUACCCUUUCAAAAUUGUAGCUUUCAAAUUUACAAAUGGCAUAGCAACAGAGACGAACUUAAAGAUAACAACAAGCAAAAAAGUGAAAGCUGAGAUUAAGUUGGCAAGAGCAGAAGCAAGGGUUGGAGAGUUGUAUCUUACACCAAUUAUUACAAAGUUCAGCAUCAAAGUGAUCUUGCAAAAAACCUAGUUUUAUAACCCAAUUUUUUCACCAAUAAAGGAAUUAUUGAACUCUGUUUAGAUUUAAUUGCAUACCCAGCAAUGCUUAAGCAAAAAAUUUUGCACAAAAAAGAUAGAGUAAUUGGUGGCCGCUUUUUCUUGCAUAUAAGGAAGUUCCAAAAUAGAUAAAUAAGAACCUUGUAAAGAAAAAAGCUGCUAGAAAAAGAAUGAGUGAAGCCAAAGCAUUUAAGUAGAUGACAA
rnacentral:lncRNA from 1 species